rnacentral:lncRNA from 1 species
AAUUGGUUGCUCAAAACAGAAAUCAAAAAGAAGGUAAGAGAGAAAAGAAGAAGAUGAAGAAUUCUGCAAGAGAAAGUAGAGGCAGAGAAAGAAAGGAGAAAAAGAGGAAAUACCAUGGCAGAGAUGAGUCAACAGAUCAUUCCAGGAAAGAAUUUGCUGUGAAAUUAGUUUUGAGAUCAACAUUUGAAAAAGAGCACAGAAACUCAACUGCUGAAGAGUCAACUGGUGGACUGGAAAAAAUAUGGAUCAAAAUAAAUUAGGAAAAAAGAAUCACAAGAUCAUAUCAAUGUAGAGCAAAGCUGAAGACAACAGAAUAAGAAUGAAAAUGAAAAAGAAAAGACAGAUCUGUUUUUUCCUACUCAAAAGGAGUGGAGUGAAAUCCAAGUCCUCCAAAAAAGAGACGGAAUGCUGUUCUACCUCACUACUCACUCCUACUCCAAACUUUAACUUUUGGACUCACAUCAUUUUUAGAAUGUUAAGCCAUUUUUCAAAGACAUUAGACUCCCAAGAGACCACGAAGUUACGACAUUGAAAACAAACCAGAGUGUUCACAGCAUCGCAAACUGCACUCCUUCCACCCUCCAGUCUUUCGAAAGGAGGUUUGGGAAGACAUGAGCUGUUGAGAAGUUGCCAGUUAAGAAGUCAGUUUGGAAGCCACUUUAAACCAAAGUUGCGUAAUCAGAACUGUUGGUCUUAAGUAUGUGUUUGAGUAAUGUAUUAAAUGGCAUUAACAUGGACAGUAAAACUCUUGCAUUAUUUUCUUCCCUGGAGGCAUAUAAUGCAAAACUUCAUUGACUGGAGCCAGUUUGGUAAAUGGGGCAGAAAAUGCCUGUAGAACUGAUGUAAUGUUACAAAGAAAGCGGAGCAUAAGAUGGCAUAUAAACUCCUAAUGGUAUUGUUUCCUAGAUUCUCCUUGUGCAGCAAAGUGAGUAUCGUUGCUGCUUUUAGGGGAAUAGCCCGAUUACAGUUAAGGCACCAAUGUAUACGCUGCCUGGCACACAUAUGACUAUGGGGCACAGAUUAGAAUUCAUUUCAUCGAGCUUUAAUUUCAUGUUCAGCCCCUUAAAAGUUCCAUAUCUUUUAAAUAUGCUGCCAGCAACCUGUUAUCUGGUAUAAUGAAAAGCAGUGUAACCACUCACCAAAUAAAAUCCCAUAUAAAAUCUAAACCUCA